rnacentral:rRNA from 1 species
GACGAACGCUGGCGGCGUGCUUAACACAUGCAAGUCGAACGCUGAAGCCCUUCGGGGUGGAUGAGUGGCGAACGGGUGAGUAACACGUGGGUAAUCUGCCCUGCACUCUGGGAUAAGCCUUGGAAACGGGGUCUAAUACCGGAUAGGGCACAUCGCCGCAUGGUGUGUGUGUGGAAAGUUCCGGCGGUGCAGGUUGAGCCCGCGGCCUAUCAGCUUGUUGGUGGGGUGAUGGCCUACCAAGGCGACGACGGGUAGCCGGCCUGAGAGGGUGACCGGCCACACUGGGACUGAGACACGGCCCAGACUCCUACGGGAGGCAGCAGUGGGGAAUCUUGCGCAAUGGGCGAAAGCCUGGCGCAGCAACGCCGCGUGGGGGAUGACGGCCUUCGGGUUGUAAACCUCUUUCGACCGGGACGAAGGAUUCGUUUGACGGUACCGGUAGAAGAAGCACCGGCUAACUACGUGCCAGCCGCCGCCGUAA